GGGGGGUGGUAUUGCUGUCUCCUUACUAAAGCGGGAUGCCUCCAAGGCAGGAGACCCUAGGGAGGGUCUGUGGGGCACUAGAUGUUGGGAGAUUGGGGAACUGCAUGAAUGCUGUAAAUAGAGACACUUGGGUGAUCCAGCAAGAGAAGGUGUGGAAGGGUGCCAUGCACAGAGCCAGAGACUCCAGGAGUUUGCUCAGGGGAAGGCUUUCCCCAUUGAGAACUGGCAUGAGACAGAUAUUGGAAUAGUGCCAGAAGCCCAGCUGCCCCUUCGUUGGCUCCCAGAUCCCCUCACGUCUGCCGCCCCCAGCUGCUGCCCCGGAGCCUCCGUUUGUGGGUGGUGGGGGUUCACACUAUAUAAUGACCCAGUUCUCCCCUCUGCAGCCACCAGCCAGCACUGCCAUGGGAAAACGCUCACAUUUGUGACCGGUUCAUUGCAUGGGCUAACACAGCACUCGCUCCAGACACCCAGCAUGGCACAAGUUUCAAGGCAGAAAUUAUAAGAAAAUGAGGGUUGAAUAGCUCAGGAGAGAGAAACUUUAACAAUACAAAUUAAAAAAGGAGAAAAAAAUCACAUAAAAGGAAACAAUGGUGAAGAAGAGACUCCAUGGGGGUCAUGAGGAUUCUGGCCUGAAAGGUCCCACCCGGAGCCUUGAGGCAAUGGCUGAGGGCAGCCCUGAGCCAGCAGUGCCCCAGCCCUAGUUCUUGGGGCAGGCACAGGCUUUUUAUGGUGUCUCUGUACAGUGCCUGGCACGCUGGAGCCCUGCUCUAUGACUGGCAGCCCAAGCUCCUACCGCAAGUCAAGUGAUGAUGCUGAUACUAGCAGCCCCCUGAGGAGGGAGAGGCAGGCAGCUUGUGUGAUCUAACUGCAUUAGAGGGCCAUAAGGGGGCAGGCUGCCUGCCUGUACCUCAGGCCUAGGUAAUAACAGGGAAGCCCCCCAGCUGCUGCAAAGAGCCAUCACUCCAUUGACCAGCGCAGAGCUCUGACACCAGCCGAGGAUGGGCCCUGAGGCGUUUCAGCACUGCACCAUCUGAAAGGUCUCGAAUUGGGCCUGUGGACAAAAGCCCCUUGUGAAACAACACAAAACAGAGACAUGUCAGGGUAGCGUAGCAGCUUCUGUGCCAUGCUCCCAACAAUACUUCACAAUAAAACCCAUGUUUGCAAA